rnacentral:rRNA from 1 species
GAUGAACGCUGGCGGCGUGCCUAAUACAUGCAAGUCGAGCGGACGGACGAGAAGCUUGCUUCUCUGAUGUUAGCGGCGGACGGGUGAGUAACACGUGUAUAACCUACCUAUAAGACUGGGAUAACUUCGGGAAACCGGAGCUAAUACCGUAUAAUAUUUUGAACCGCAUGGUUCAAAGGUGAAAGACGGUCUUGCUGUCACUUAUAGAUGGAUCCGCGCUGCAUUAGCUAGUUGUUAAGGUAACGGCUUACCAAGGCAACGAUGCAUAGCCGACCGGAGAGGGUGAUAGGCCACCUUGGAAGUGAGACACGGACAAGACUCCUACGGGAGGGAGCAGUAGGGAAUCUUACGCAAUGGGCGAAAGCCUGACGGAGCAACGCCGAGUGAGUGACGAAGGUCUUCGGAGCGUAAAACUCUGUUAUUAGGGAAGAACAUAUGUGUAAGUAACUGUGCACAGCGUGACGGUAACUAAUAAGAAAGCCACGGCUAACUACGUG